GAUGAACGCUGGCGGCGUGCUUAACACAUGCAAGUCGAACGGUGAACGAGGGAGCUUGCUCCCUCCGGAUCAGUGGCGAACGGGUGAGUAACACGUGAGCAAUCUGCCCUGGACUCUGGGAUAAGCGUUGGAAACGACGUCUAAUACCGGAUACGAGGCGUGGGGGCAUCCCCAACGCCUGGAAAGAACUUCGGUCCAGGAUGAGCUCGCGGCCUAUCAGCUAGUUGGUGAGGUAACGGCUCACCAAGGCGACGACGGGUAGCCGGCCUGAGAGGGGGACCGGCCACACUGGGACUGAGACACGGCACAGACUCCUACGGGAGGCAGCAGUGGGGAAUAUUGCACAAUGGGCGCAAGCCUGAUGCAGCAACGCCGCAUGAGGGACGACGGCCUUCGGGUUGUAAACCUCUUUUAGCAGGGAAGAAGCGAAAGUGACGGUACCUGCAGAAAAAGCACCGGCUAACUACGUGCCAGCCGCCGCCGUAACAC
rnacentral:rRNA from 1 species